UCCCCUAGUAACUGCGAGUGAAGCGGGAAGAGCUCAAAUUUAAAAUCUGGCAGUUCCCUGAGCUGUCCGAGUUGUAAUCUAGAGAAGUGCUUUCCGUGCUGGACCGUGUACAAGUCUCUUGGAAUGGAGCGUCACAGAGGGUGAGAAUCCCGUCUUUGACACGGACUACCAGUGCUUUUGCGAUGCACUCUCAAAGAGUCGAGUUGUUUGGGAAUGCAGCUCAAAAUGGGUGGUAAAUUCCAUCUAAAGCUAAAUAUAGGCGAGAGACCGAUAGCGAACAAGUACCGUGAGGGAAAGAUGAAAAGAACUUUGAAAAGAGAGUUAAACAGUACGUGAAAUUGUUGAAAGGGAAACGUUUCAAGUCAGUCGCGUUGGCUGGUAAUCAACCUUUGCAACCUUGCUGGGCUUAUUUUCCAGUUGACGGGUCAGCAUCAAUUUUGACUGUCAGAUAAAGGCGUGAGGAAUGUGGCAUCCUUGGAUGUGUUAUAGCCUCUUGUCACAUGUGAUGGUUGGGAUUGAGGAACUCAGCAUGCCUUUACUGGUCGGGGCUCUAAGCCCACGUAACAUGCUUAGGAUGCUGGCAUAAUGGCUUGAACCGACCCGUCUUGAAACACGGACCAAGGAGUCUAACAUGCCUGCGAGUGUUUGGGUGGAAAACCCGAGCGCGAAGUGAAAGUGAAUUUUGUCGAGAUCCCUGUCAUGGGGAGCACCGACGCCCAGACCAGACCUUUUGUGACGGAUCUGCGGUUGAGCAUGCAUGCUGGGACCCGAAAGAUGGUGAACUAUGCCUGAAUAGGGUGAAGCCAGAGGAAACUCUGGUGGAGGCUCGUAGCGAUUCUGACGUGCAAAUCGAUCGUCGAAUUUGGGUAUAGGGGCGA
rnacentral:rRNA from 1 species